GCUGAGGUAGCCAAGCGGACCACGGCGGCAGCCUUGAGAGCUGUUGAGGCUCACGCCUCGCGGGAGUUCAAAUCUCUCCCUCAGCG
rnacentral:tRNA from 1 species